rnacentral:lncRNA from 1 species
CAGAGGAGCCUGCUACACUUUGUUUGGCCUCCAGGACCUUCCUCAGAAAUCUCAGCGGGUGCCUCUGUGACCCCUCCAUGAAGACUCCAACAUCACACACUCCUGCAGAGCCAGCACCACAUGGAUGCUACCAAGGUCUGCUGCCAGCCCAUGCAAUACCCGGGUCCCCUGAAAUCAUGGCUGCAAUGAGCUCUGCAUGGUGAAACAACUUUUUAGGAGCUCCCAGUGUGAGCAAGAUACACCCAUGACCUCUUCUCAAAGGAAUUUUCCCUUUGAGAGCCUUGAACCCACAAAGGGUGUGGUCCUGAAAAUUCCUGGGAUGUCCUCAAGACAUUUCCUAUUGUGCAAAGUACUCAGCAUUUCUGUAAGAGCUAUAAUCUCAUCAAUAAGCCCACCUUCCUUGGCCCUAGCUUCAUAUGCACUUUUCUGGUCAAGUCCAGUUUCCCAUCUGAAACCUCUUGAGCACGGUCCACAUUUGUACCUGCAGUCGAGUCUCCUAAGCUCCCACCAGAGUUACCCACGAAGCUCUGUCGACAACAUUCUAAAGCUUUUCCAGACUGCCUUUCCAAACUUUUCCAAAGGGUUCUGGACCCCAGAGUCAGGGGAAUCCCAGCAAUGACCCAACUUCCUGGGACCAAUUUCUGGUUUAGUUAGUUUUGUGUCACUGUGAACAAAAAUACCUCCCAAGAAACACUCAGAAGAAAAAGUUUACUUGGGGCUCAGUUUCUGAGGUCUCCAUCCAUAUAUAGCUGACUCCACGGGGGCUCUGACCCUAGAUGAGAAAGUACCUCUUGCGGGAAGGGACCAGCAGAGGAAAGAUGUUCAGCUUCUGGCAGAACCACAAAGUAGAGGCAGGAGAAGGGGGCACAGGGAAGGUGCACCUUCCCAGGGCACACUCCCAGGGACCCACCUCCACCAGUCAAGCCCCCCCACCUGGAGACACCACCCAGUCUUAGAUUGUGGUCUAAUAAUGAAGUCAUUUUAUCUUCUCUGAACAUUCCAGUCCCAACAGGAGUUUUUUUUGGGGGGGAAACCUCCUUUCUAAACCAUAAACACAUCAUUUUAAUUUUUAUAGCAUGUUAGCAAUUACAUGCUUAAAACUUAAUUUACAAAGUGAAACUUGAUUUUAAAAAACUUUUCAAAAUUACAAAACUUUACCGGAG